CGCGGGUCCGGCGCGCGCGCUUAGCUGGCGGGACCGUUAGCUCCAGGCUGACGCGGCCCGGGCCCCGUGGGGAUGGAGCAGUUGCCGCCGCCGGCUCCUGAGCCGACCCAAGGGCUGACCCCGGCACGGAGCCGCAGGCGGCGUGAGCCCGAGUCGCCGCCGGCGCCGGCGCCGAUUCCUCUCUUUGGUGCUAAGACUCUUGACCAGAGAAGUCCUGAUGGACCAGUACUGAGCAAAGCUGAAUUUGUUGAGAAAGUUCGUCAGAGUAACCAGGCCUGUCAUGAUGGAGAUUUCCACACAGCUAUUGUUCUGUAUAAUGAAGCCCUUGCUGUUGACCCUCAGAACUGCAUCUUAUACAGCAAUAGAUCUGCAGCCUACAUGAAAAUUCAGCAGUAUGACAAGGCACUGGAUGAUGCAAUUAAAGCACGACUUCUCAACCCCAAAUGGCCAAAGGCGUACUUCCGACAGGGUGUUGCCCUCCAGUACCUUGGACGUCAUGCCGAUGCCCUGGCAGCCUUUGCAUCUGGACUGGCUCAAGACCCCAAGAGUCUCCAACUUCUGGUGGGAAUGGUAGAAGCUGCCAUGAAAUCUCCCAUGAGAGACUCCCUCGAGCCUACUUAUCAGCAGCUUCAGAAAAUGAAACUGGACAAGAGUCCCUUUGUGGUCGUGUCUGUGGUUGGGCAGGAACUCCUGACAGCUGGCCAUCACGGGGCCUCUGUGGUUGUCUUAGAAGCUGCUCUGAAGAUUGGCACCUGCAGCCUCAAACUGAGAGGUUCUGUUUUCUCUGCCCUGAGCAGUGCUUACUGGUCUCUUGGCAACACAGAGAAGAGCACUGGAUACAUGCAGCAGGACUUGGAUGUAGCCAAGACUUUAGGUGACCAGACAGGAGAAUGCCGAGCUCAUGGGAAUCUAGGCUCUGCAUUCUUCUCCAAAGGAAAUUACCGAGAAGCUCUCACUAACCACAGGCAUCAGUUGGUGCUCGCCAUGAAACUCAAGGAUCGAGAGGCAGCUUCGUCAGCAUUGAGCAGUCUGGGCCACGUGUACACAGCCAUUGGAGACUACCCCAAUGCACUGGCCAGUCACAAACAGUGUGUUCUUCUCGCCAAGCAAUCCAAAGAUGAACUUUCUGAAGCCCGAGAACUUGGCAACAUGGGAGCUGUGUACAUUGCUAUGGGUGACUUUGAGAACGCUGUGCAGUGCCAUGAGCAGCAUCUGCAGAUAGCUAAGCACCUGGGGAACAAGCGAGAAGAGGCCCGGGCCUACAGCAACCUGGGCAGUGCUUAUCAUUACCGGAGGAACUUUGACAAGGCCAUGUCAUACCACAACUAUGUGCUGGAGCUGGCACAGGAGUUGAUGGAGAAGGCCAUUGAGAUGCGGGCCUAUGCUGGCCUAGGCCACGCUGCCAGGUGCAUGCAGGAUUUGGAGAGGGCUAAACAGUACCAUGAACAGCAGCUGGGCAUUGCUGAGGGUCUCAAGGACCGGGCUGCAGAGGGACGAGCAUCCUCCAAUCUGGGAAUUAUACACCAGAUGAAAGGUGAUUAUGACACUGCACUGAAACUCCACAAGACCCACCUGUGCAUCGCCCAGGAGCUGAGUGAUUAUGCAGCCCAGGGCCGUGCCUAUGGGAAUAUGGGCAAUGCCUACAAUGCUCUGGGCAUGUAUGACCAGGCAGUCAAGUACCACCGACAGGAGCUGCAGAUCUCCAUGGAAGUGAACGACCGUGCCUCACAGGCCUCCACACAUGGGAACCUUGCUGUGGCCUACCAGGCUCUGGGGGCCCAUGACAGGGCCCUGCAACACUAUCAGAACCACCUGAACAUUGCCCGGGAGCUGCGAGACAUCCAGAGCGAGGCUCGAGCACUCAGCAACCUGGGUAACUUCCACUGUUCUCGGGCAGAGUAUGUCCAGGCUGCCCCCUAUUAUGAACAGUACCUCCGGCUUGCUCCUGAUCUUCAAGACAUGGAAGGAGAAGGGAAGGUCUGCCACAAUCUCGGCUAUGCCCAUUACUGCCUUGGAAAUUACCAGGAGGCGGUGAAGUACUAUGAGCAGGAUCUGGCACUGGCCAAAGACCUUCACGACAAAUUGAGCCAAGCAAAAGCCUACUGUAACUUGGGCCUAGCAUUCAAGGCUCUGUUGAAUUUCAGUAAAGCUGAAGAGUGUCAAAAGUACCUACUGUCUCUAGCCCAGUCCCUGAAUAAUUCCCAGGCUAAAUUUCGAGCCCUAGGGAACCUAGGUGAUAUAUUCAUCUGUAAAAAAGAUAUAAAUGGUGCAAUAAAAUUCUACGAGCAGCAGCUGGGCUUAGCUCAUCAGGUAAAGGACAGAAGACUGGAGGCCAGUGCGUAUGCAGCCCUAGGCACUGCAUACCGAAUGAUCCAGAAGUAUGACAAAGCCUUGGGUUAUCAUACGCAGGAACUGGAGGUAUAUCAGGAGCUGAACGACUUGCCAGGGGAGUGCAGAGCUCAUGGGCACCUGGCUGCUGUCUACAUGGCCCUUGGGAAAUACACAAUGGCAUUCAAGUGUUAUGAAGAGCAGCUGGAUCUAGGGCAGAAGCUGAAGGAUCCGAGUCUAGAGGCCCAGGUCUAUGGCAACAUGGGCAUCACAAAGAUGAACAUGAAUGUGAUGGAAGAAGCCAUUGGCUACUUUGAGCAGCAGCUGGCCAUGCUGCAGCAGCUGAGUGGAAAUGAGUCCGUGCUUGACAGGGGCCGGGCCUAUGGAAACCUGGGGGAUUGCUACGAAGCCCUGGGUGACUAUGAGGAAGCUAUCAAAUACUAUGAACAGUAUUUAUCUGUUGCUCAGAGUCUAAAUCGCAUGCAGGACCAAGCCAAGGCUUACCGGGGUCUAGGAAAUGGACACAGGGCAAUGGGGAGCUUGCAGCAAGCCCUUGUGUGCUUUGAAAAGAGGCUUGUGGUUGCCCAUGAGCUCGGGGAGGCCUUCAAUAAAGCCCAGGCCUAUGGAGAGCUGGGAAGUCUGCACAGCCAAUUAGGGAAUUACGAACAAGCCAUUUCCUGUCUUGAACGCCAGCUGAACAUUGCUAGAGAGAUGAAAGACCGAGCCCUGGAGAGUGAUGCAGCCUGUGGUCUAGGGGGCGUUUACCAGCAAAUGGGGGAGUAUGACACUGCCCUGCAGUACCACCAGCUUGAUCUUCAGAUAGCGGAGGAAACCAACAACCCCACAUGCCAGGGCCGAGCCUAUGGGAACCUGGGCCUGACUUAUGAAUCCCUGGGCACCUUCGAGAGGGCUGUGGUCUAUCAAGAACAGCACUUGAGCAUUGCUGCACAGAUGAACGACUUGGUGGCCAAGACAGUGUCAUAUAGUAGCCUCGGAAGGACCCAUCAUGCCUUGCAGAACUAUUCCCAGGCAGUCAUGUACUUACAGGAAGGUUUAAGGUUAGCUGAGCAAUUGGGCCGAAGAGAAGAUGAGGCAAAAAUUCGCCAUGGUCUUGGCCUGUCCCUUUGGGCUAGUGGAAACCUGGAGGAGGCCCAACACCAGCUUUACAGGGCAUCGGCCUUGUUUGAAACAAUCCGGCAUGAGGCGCAGCUGAGCACUGAUUACAAACUGUCCCUCUUUGACCUGCAGACGUCGUCCUACCAGGCCUUGCAGCGGGUGCUUGUCAGCCUAGGCCAUCAUGACGAAGCUCUGGCUGUGGCGGAAAGAGGACGGACAAGGGCAUUUGCUGAUCUUCUGGUGGAACGACAAACAGGACAACAGGACUCAGACCCCUACUCCCCAGUCACUAUUGACCAGAUCUUAGAGAUGGUUAAUGGGCAGAGGGGACUAGUGCUUUACUAUUCCCUGGCUGCAGGCUACCUGUAUAGCUGGCUGCUUGCCCCAGGGGCAGGAAUUCUGAAGUUUCAUGAACACUACCUGGGGGAUAGUACAGUGGACAACUCCAGUGACUUCCAGGUUGGGAGCAGUGCAGCCCUUCCAAUAGCAACCAGCUCGGCCCUAGAGCAGCACAUUGCCAGUGUCCAGGAGGCCUUGGGAGUGGAGUCUUACUACUCAAGGGCCUGUGCCAGCAGCGAGACAGAGAGCGAAGCUGGAGACAUCAUGGACCAGCAAUUUGAAGAGAUGAACAACAAACUCAACUCAGUCACUGACCCCACUGGCUUUCUGCGGAUGGUUCGCCGCAAUAACCUCUUUAACAGGAGCUGCCAGAGCAUGACAAGCCUGUGCAGUCAUGCUGUGUCGCCGACCCAGGAUGGGACCUCCUCUCUUCCCAGGAGGCAGAGCUCGUUCACUAAGCCCCCUCUCCGUGCCCUGUAUGACCUGCUCAUAGCGCCCAUGGAAGGGGGCCUGAUGCACGCCAGUGGCCCUGUCGGCCGGCACCGGCAACUGACCUUGGUCCUGGAGGGGGAGCUCUACCUCAUCCCCUUUGCCCUCCUGAAGGGAAGCUCCUCCAACGAGUACCUCUAUGAGCGCUUCGGCCUUCUCGCUGUCCCCUCCAUCCGCUCCCUCAGUCCGCAGUCCAAGUCCCACCUGAGAAAGAACCCACCCACCUACUCCAGCUCCACGUCCAUGGCAGCUGUCAUUGGCAACCCCAAACUCCCAUCAGCAGUGAUGGACAGGUGGCUGUGGGGGCCAAUGCCAUCAGCUGAGGAGGAAGCCUACAUGGUGUCCGAGCUGCUGGGCUGCCAGCCCCUGGUGGGCAGUGUGGCCACCAAGGAGAGGGUCAUGAGUGCCCUGAUCCAGGCAGAGUGCGUCCACUUCGCUACCCACAUCUCUUGGAAGCUGUCAGCCCUGGUCCUCACACCCAAUGUGGAUGGCAACCCUGCCAGCAGCAAGAGUUCAUUUGGCCACCCUUACACCAUCCCUGAGUCACUGCGGGUGCAGGAUGACGCCAGUGACGGGGAAAGCAUCUCGGACUGCCCACCCCUGCAGGAGCUGCUACUCACGGCUGCCGAUGUCUUAGACCUGCGGCUGCCAGUGAAGCUGGUGGUGCUUGGCUCCUCUCAGGAGUCCAACAGCAAAGUCACAGCUGACGGCGUUAUCGCACUUACACGGGCCUUCCUAGCCGCUGGCGCACAGUGUGUCCUGGUGUCUCUGUGGCCUGUGCCGGUAGCUGCCUCCAAGAUGUUUAUCCAUGCCUUCUACUCAUCCCUGCUGAAUGGCCUGAAAACCAGUGCCGCCCUGGGGGAGGCCAUGAAGGUGGUGCAGAGCAGCAAAGCCUUCUCACACCCCUCCAACUGGGCAGGGUUCCUGCUCAUUGGGAAUGAUGUUAAGCUGAACAGUCCCUCGUCGCUCAUUGGCCAGGCCCUCACAGAGAUCUUGCAGCACCCAGAGCGCGCGCGUGACGCCUUGCGAGUGCUACUGCACCUGGUGGAGAAGUCCUUGCAGCGCAUCCAGAAUGGGCAACGCAAUGCCAUGUACACAUCCCAGCAGAGCGUGGAGAACAAAGUGGGUGGCAUCCCUGGCUGGCAGGCUCUCCUCACUGCCGUGGGCUUCCGACUGGAUCCCCCGGCCAGCGGCCUGCCGGCGGCUGUCUUCUUCCCAACCUCUGACCCGGGUGACCGGCUGCAGCAGUGCAGCAGCACCAUCCAAUCCCUGCUGGGUCUACCCAAUCCUGCCCUCCAAGCCCUCUGCAAACUCAUCACUGCCUCGGAGACGGGCGAGCAGCUCAUUAGCCGGGCUGUUAAAAAUAUGGUUGGAAUGCUCCACCAGGUGCUGGUUCAGCUCCAGGCCGGCGAGAAGGAGCAGGACUCUGCCUCAGCCCCCAUUCAGGUCUCCAUCAGCGUCCAGCUAUGGCGGCUCCCGGGAUGUCACGAAUUCUUGGCAGCUCUAGGUUUUGAUCUCUGUGAAGUUGGUCAGGAGGAAGUAAUCCUAAAAACCGGGAAGCAAGCCAACCGCCGGACCGUGCACUUCGCUCUGCAGUCCUUGCUGUCUCUCUUCGAUUCUACGGAGCUACCCAAGCGCCUCAGCCUCGACAGCUCCUCCUCCCUGGAGUCUCUGGCUUCAGCUCAGUCUGUUUCCAACGCCCUGCCCUUGGGCUACCAGCACCCUCCCUUCUCUCCCACCGGUGCGGACAGCAUCGCCUCAGAUGCCAUUUCUGUAUACAGUCUGAGCUCCAUCGCCUCCUCCAUGAGCUUUGUCUCCAAACCUGAGGUGGGGUCAGAGGGCGGAGGCCCCAGAGGACGGCAGGACCAUGACCGGUCCAAGGGUGCUUACCCACAGCGAUCCACCCUGCCUCGGAGCCAGAUGUCUCCCCAGACCCGCCCUGCAGGCAACAAAGAGGAAGAAGAAUACGAAGGGUUUUCCAUCCUCAGUACUGAGCCUUUGGCAGCCUACCAAGAAAACAGGACAACUCGCUUCUCAUCAGAUCACAAGCAAUCUAGAGUCGGGACAGCUGGAGCUGUGAAAGUUUCGGUAAGCUCCAAAGGGAGCAUAAGCACUCCAAAUUCUCCAGUUAAAAUGACUAUGAUUCCCAGCCCAAACUCACCCUUCCAAAAGGUUGGAAAACUAGCAAGUUCAGAUACAGGAGAAUCGGACCAGUCUAGCACAGAAACAGAUAGUACCGUGAAAUCUCAAGAAGAAAGCAACCCAAAGCUGGAUCCACAAGAGUUGGCCCAGAAGAUUCUAGAGGAGACGCAGAGUCAUCUCAUUGCAGUGGAACGUCUUCAGAGGAGUGGCAGUCAGGUGAACAAGAGUAACAAUCCAGAAGACGGCAUCUCGGUGCCAAAUAGUGCUGCCGUCUUCAGAGCAUCAGAGACAAGUGCGUUCAGUAAGCCUAUCCUCUCCCAUCAGAAGAGUCAGCUGUCACCAGUCAGUGUUAAACCAAAGCCCCCAGCCAGGAGCUCAUCCCUGCCCAAGGUGAGCUCCGGAUACAGCAGCCCCACCACCUCCGAGACGUCUAUCAGAGACAGCCUGAGCCAGCUCAGUGGCCGGCCAUCACCUGGCUCUGACUCCCAGACUUCACUGAUGGACCAGCCCCUCUUCAAACUGAAGUAUCCCAGCUCUCCUUACAGCGCUCACAUUUCCAAAUCACCAAGGAAUAUGUCCCCAAGCUCAGGCCAUCAGUCUCCUGCUGGCAGUGCUCCGUCCCCAGCUCUCUCCUACUCCUCAGCUGGCUCUGCUCGUUCGAGUCCAGCUGAUGCUCCUGACAUAGACAAACUGAAAAUGGCAGCCAUUGAUGAAAAGGUGCAGGCUGUCCAUAACCUGAAGAUGUUUUGGCAAAACACACCCCAACAUUCUCCGGGACCAGUGAAAAUCUUCCGUGGGACCCCUGGAACGAUGACUUCCAAAAGAGAUGUCCUCAGUCUGUUAAAUUUGUCACCACGGCACAACAAGAAGGAGGAAGGAGUUGAUAAGCUUGAACUGAAGGAGUUGUCUCUGCAGCAACCCGAGGAAGCACCACAAAAAGCCCGUCCCAAUGGACACUGGCACACUGAGACCACCACACUGAGCACGCUGCCGCUGCCCACCGGCCCUCCUGCCGGGGCCCCUGCACGUCCUUUGAGACUUCCCUCUGGAAAUGGCUACAAGUUCCUGUCCCCAGGAAGAUUUUUCCCUUCUUCCAAAUGCUAAAGCAUCUUUUAUACCAACUGAGUCAGAGUGGAAAAGCCCAUAGAAAAGGGCUUGGUAUUCCCUUCAGCCUGUUCCCUUAUCUGGGUACAGUCACCCCACAAGGCCACCAGCGCCACCUCACCAUGGUGUGCUCCCUGGAUGUAAGUUUCACUGAAGGGAAAAGGAAGGUGAUAAAAUGAUAGGACGAAUCUAAAGAUCACGACAGAGUCGCCACUUCUUUAUGUUACUGUAAGUCUUGGUGUUUCUGAGUGAAAUGGAUGUGAAAUCGUAAAAUCAGGGUCAGUUUUUCAGGCUACCCUGAAAAAAGUAUGCUCUUAAAAUUAUGAGAGAUUGUAUAACUCACAAAUAUUUCUUUGGGGUUGGCAAGUAUGACCCACAGGCUAAGAAUGGAUCUCACCUUUCCAAAUGGUUACGUAAGGAUCAACGUAAUAUUCUUAAUUUUGCCUCUUGGCUCUUACAGCCUAAAAUACCUAGUACCUGGCCUUUUAAGGAAAAGUUUGUUGACUCCUGGCAUGGAUGACAGACAACAUAAUCAUUCCUGUUUUUUUUCUACAAUCUAGGAAGAGAGAAUGUAGUGGCUACAUUGGCUGGUGUGCCUGGGAACCCUGAGCAUUGAGGGUCACCUGGAUGAAAGCAAAUGACUCCUGCAUAGCCACGGGCUCCUUGCCCCUUUGGGGAAGAGUCAGUGGAUGUGGGGAAUAUUUACAAAAACAGGUUUUGUUCCUCCAUUUGAGUAGAUACAUCUCCUUUUAGUUCCAGAAACUGGACUGCCCUACCCUACUCUGCCCAAGUCAGACGCGGGUACACAGAAGACAAGCAGUACCAGUCUGUGGUAGAGACCUCAGGGCACCCUGGUUCAGACCAGGGGGUAUGAACUGAUAGUUUUAACUAAGUCAAAAUGCCGAGAGGAGAUACUUCUGAAACUUAAUGUUUUGAUCAUUUUGAUUAAUUAAUAAGCAGCAAAAUGAAAUAGUUCUCACCCCCAUCCCAUUUUUUAAAUCUCGUGGUCCACACUGAUCCUUGCUGGGUUUCACCAGGAGGUGCCACCCACACUAUCCUGACCAUGACUCGUCUGUCCCAGUGACUGUCCAGUCGGGCAAGCACUGUAGUAAGUCCCUGGUCCAUGCACGUCCCCUCGUCUCCCAGCCACGCACACUUGCAGACCCAUAAGGAGAACUGUAGCCUUGAUAAUUUUCGUUCAGGUUGGACAAAUACCAUGCAAUAAUCUGGUUUGCUUUUAAUAAGUAGGCAAAAAGUAAAAAUUGUAUAAUUUUCAUCACAUAUUUUGUUGUUUUAUCUAAAAUGAGUACAUGUGGUUUGUGAACUGGGCCUUGUUUGUUUUGAAUCCUUUAGAGAUGUUCCGGGUCAGGACACCUGUUGUCCCCUGUCCUCUCCUCAGAAACCUUCCCCACUCGGCAUUCACGUUCCUUAUAUGCAGCGUUAGCCAUCUUUGGCCUAUGUGGACUUUUUUGUAAAUUACCCGGUUUCCAGAUGGCAUUAAACUUUUUAUAUUACGAAAUUUACCAUGUAAAAAGAACUUCAUAUUUUUAUUGAGAUUGCUAAGGCACUUGGCCUUCUUCCUUUGUGAUUUCAGUGUCUAUUAAAGCAUGAAUUCCCUCAGUUUUAAGUGCUGUUAUCUGAAUCACUUUCUACACACAUUUCACACUAGGUUUCUACACAGAUUUCCUAGGUUUCUUUGCCAUACACAGAGUGGUGAUGUGUCGGUAAUGAGCUGGUAUCUUUGUCUGGAGUUCUGUCUGCAUCUGUAAACCAUAGCCUCACAAACACCAGCUGGAGAGCCCGAGAAGGUGCACCGCAGAGCUGUGCUGCU